rnacentral:rRNA from 1 species
AGUGAACGCUGGCGGUAGGCCUAACACAUGCAAGUCGAACGGCAGCACAGUAAGAGCUUGCUCUUACGGGUGGCGAGUGGCGGACGGGUGAGGAAUACAUCGGAAUCUACUUUUUCGUGGGGGAUAACGUAGGGAAACUUACGCUAAUACCGCAUACGACCUACGGGUGAAAGCAGGGGAUCUUCGGACCUUGCGCGAUUGAAUGAGCCGAUGUCGGAUUAGCUAGUUGGCGGGGUAAAGGCCCACCAAGGCGACGAUCCGUAGCUGGUCUGAGAGGAUGAGCAGCCCCACUGGAACUGAGACACGGUCCAGACUCCUACGGGAGGCAGCAGUGGGGAAUAUUGGACAAUGGGCGCAAGCCUGAUCCAGCCAUACUGCGUGGGUGAAGAAGGCCUUCGGGUCGUAAAGCCCUUUUGUUGGGAAAGAAAAGCAGCAGGUUAAUACCCCGCUGUUCUGACGGUACCCAAAGAAUAAGCACCGGCUAACUUCGUG